UACAGAGGCCUCGAGCGUUAGGCGGAAUCACUGGGCUUAAAGCGUGUGUAGGCGGACUUCUAAGUACCUUGUGAAAUCCCACGGCUCACCCGUGGAACUGCUCGGUAUACUGGUCGUCUUGAGCCUUCUAGGGGCGAGUGGAACAAAUGGUGGAGCGGUGAAAUGCGUAGAUAUCAUUUGGAACGCCAAUGGUGAAAACAACUCGCUGGGGAAGUGCUGACGCUGAGA
rnacentral:rRNA from 1 species